rnacentral:rRNA from 1 species
UGGGGAAUUUUGGACAAUGGGCGAAAGCCUGAUCCAGCAAUGCCGCGUGUGUGAAGAAGGCCUUCGGGUUGUAAAGCACUUUUGUCCGGAAAGAAAUCCUUGGCUCUAAUACAGUCGGGGGAUGACGGUACCGGAAGAAUAAGCACCGGCUAACUACGUGCCAGCAGCCGCGGUAAUACGUAGGGUGCAAGCGUUAAUCGGAAUUACUGGGCGUAAAGCGUGCGCAGGCGGUUUGCUAAGACCGAUGUGAAAUCCCCGGGCUCAACCUGGGAACUGCAUUGGUGACUGGCAGGCUAGAGUAUGGCAGAGGGGGGUAGAAUUCCACGUGUAGCAGUGAAAUGCGUAGAGAUGUGGAGGAAUACCGAUGGCGAAGGCAGCCCCCUGGGCCAAUACUGACGCUCAUGCACGAAAGCGUGGGGAGCAAACAGGAUUAGAUACCCUGGUAGUCCACGCCCUAAAACGAUGUCAACUAGUUGUUGGGGAUUCAUUUCCUUAGUAACGUAGCUAACGCGUGAAGUUGACCGCCUGGGGAGUACGGUCGCAAAGAUUAAAACUCAAAGGAAUUGACGGGGUCAUAGCUGUUUCCU